UGCGUCAUUGGUCGUGUACGCUGACCCUCGCGUACGCGUAUAAAGUGAAGUACUUCUUUGGGCUUUAGCCGUUAAAGAAUUAAUCGUCGACCCUCACCUGCAAUGUCAGCGAGCAUGUGCCACUCCCAGAGACCCGUGCCGUCAGUUUACUUCUUAUUCCGAAGGGAGCCCUUGCUUUUCGUUGGCAUGAGAGCUAAAAGUGGUGAGCUCAGGGGAAGAAAUAUCUCAAGGUCACUGAAUUAUAGACGAGGAGAGAUGAGAGAGUGUGAAUGUGAUGGCAGUUGCAGGGCUCUCUGGUGUGAAGAGUGUUGUUUCUCUGAGAUCCUUGUGAACUUGAAUGUCACACAUGAGGAUAGAAGGCAGAACCUUGGCAGGAAACGACACCGCAAACACAUGGAAAUCUCGAGGGGCUGAGAGACAUAGAGGCAGCAGAACAUGUGCACGCAGCUCACGCAGUUCCAAGCUGAUGUUUUCUCACAUUGGCCUUUCAUGCAUCAUCACUUCCCCCUCCGCUCCUCAUGACUCCAGUCCUGUCCGAUUCCAUCUCUGUUUCAGUGCGCGGCGUCCAGCUUCAUCCCGCCACUGACCUGUUCAAGCGUGACAGUAAAGGAGAAAUCAUAUAUUUGCACACUCUCACAUGAGACUGCCUGGCUGAUCUCAUGACAGUCUAGGAUCCUGUGACUUUGGUGUAGGAGAGCUGUGCCUGAGCCAGGCGGGAAUGAUGUGAUACACUACUCUAAUGAUGCCUCGGGCCGAGGAAUAAUCACCUGAGAAUUAUACAUGCCUCUGUGAUCAGUGACAGGACUGUUUCUGCUGCAUUUCCUGUGUUUGGGCACUGAUUGGAUAAGGGGCUUGACAGCACAUACACACACCCCUAACAUUUUAUCCCCAUCCCAUGUGAUGCAAUGAAGUGUGCAAACCUUACUGGAGGCUGUCAUCCUAAAUGAGAUGCUCAUAGCUUGGAAAAGUAAACUGUAAGAUGAUAAAUGAGGCUUGUUGCAUUAGUGGUUACAUUUCAUGUUCUUUUUUUCUGUUUGUACAUGGUUUGUUUUGUGAAAAACUCUGACAGACAGCACUUCUUAUGUGUGGCUAUUCUAAUAACUGUCACUUUGUUGCAGUGUACACACAAAAAGUUGUCAAAAUAGCUAAAAUAUUUUAAUUUAUUUAUUUUAUUAUCAAUUUUGGGUUACACCAGGAUCUUUAUAGUUAACUAAAACUAAACACAUUUUUGUUACUUAAUUAAAAUAAAU